UUUCUGUUUGUUAGUUUUGCUUCUGACAGUCAGGACCCUCAGCUGCAGGCUGUAGUGCAGUAGCGCGAUCUUCGCUCACUGCAGCCUCCUGAGUAGCUGGGAUUACAGGCGCCCGCCACCGCGCCUGGCUAUUUUUUGUUAUUUUUUUUAGUAGAGAUGGGGUGUUGUUUGUUUGUUUUUUGGUUUUUUGGUUUGUUUUUGGGGGGUGUUUUUUUUGGUGUUUUUUU
rnacentral:lncRNA from 10 species